rnacentral:lncRNA from 1 species
UCAAUAAACCUAUAUACCUAUAGUUAUUAAGUGGACAUGGACUUAUUUGAUACUCCAAAAUAUUUAAUGGAUAGAAAAUAGGUACUAGGUUUUAGAGAUUAAAAAUAUUAUUAGAGCAUUAUUAGAAUAUAAAUAUGCUCAAGGUUUGUUAGCAUGAAGCCAGCACAUAAGAGAAAUACAAAGGUUGCAGUGAUACCGAAUAGAAGAGCACCUUUUUCUGUACACAAUUAGGGAGUAGAAACGAGAAGGGAAGAUGUUUUGAAAAUACAAACUGUCUUAAAGAUUUUGAAUGAAAAAAGAAAGCCAUUUCGAAUACUGAAAAUAACCUUUUCAAAACAAGAAUCUGUAAGUUCCUAUGCACAUGGCAAAAUAUAGAAUGCAUAUUUAGACAGGAUUUAUAAAUAGAGGUCACAUAACUCAAUAAGUUGAAGAGAGCAAGUUCAAACCUAGUUCAUCUAAAUCAAAUGCACAUGCUCUUUUCUCUACACUCCAGUGUAAUUAUCAGAAGUAUGUAGGAGUUAGAUAAUGGGAAACAUUUGCAAGUGUUAUAAAGCUGGAAAAAUUUGCUUCCACUUUAUUGUAUGUUUUAAGUCUAACUGUCAAAAUAUUACUUAAAUAGGUAAUACUUAAUUCCUUUAAUGUUAAAAAAGAUUAAAAUUGUCAUUUUAUGAAACUACUCUAGCUAGUCCUAUGAACCAGAGACCUGAUUGGUGACCUAUUGUAAUUAAGAACCUAAAAGGUCAUCGUUGUGACAAGUUCUAAAUGUUUAAAUAAGAUAUGGUGUUUGAGAAGGGCUGAAUUUGAGGAAAUUUUCAAUGAUAAAUAAAUAUUUGUUCGUGAUUAGAUUUGUGUGAUGUGUUAAAGUAUUAUACUCCUUUACUAAAAUAUGAUACCAUGUAUCUUUAAACCCAUUAUAUAAUUUCUUUUAUUUUUCUUUUCAACACUGUCAUUUUUUUAACUUGCUCACCUUUGAAUCAUUGAAGUUUAUGUCUGCGUGCUCACAAAACAUACAAACAACAUUAUUAGUUCAAAUUUUAU